rnacentral:rRNA from 1 species
AACGAACGCUGGCGGCAGGCCUAAAACAUGCAAGUCGAACGAACCUUCGGGUUAGUGGCGCACGGGUGCGUAACGCGUGGGAAUAUACCUCUGGGUGCGGAACAACGUCUGGAAACGGACGCUAAUACCGCAUAAUAUCUACGGAGCAAAGAUUUAUCGCCCAGAGAUUAGCCCGCGUCUGAUUAGCUAGUUGGUGAAGUAAUGGCUCACCAAGGCGACGAUCAGUAGCUGGUCUGAGAGGAUGAUCAGCCACACUGGAACUGAGACACGGUCCAGACUCCUACGGGAGGCAGCAGUUGGGAAUAUUGGACAAUGGGGGAAACCCUGAUCCAGCCAUGCCGCGUGAGUGAAGAAGGCCUUAGGGUUGUAAAGCUCUUUCGGCUGUGAAGAUAAUGACAGUAGCAGAAGAAGAAGCUCCGGCUAAAUUCGUGCCAGCCGCCGCGGUAA